rnacentral:rRNA from 1 species
CCAGACUCCUACGGGAGGCAGCAGUGGGGAAUAUUGCACAAUGGGGGAAACCCUGAUGCAGCGACGCCGCGUGAGUGAAGAAGUAUUUCGGUAUGUAAAGCUCUAUCAGCAGGGAAGAAAAACCGACCUUAGGGUCGCUAGACGGUACCUAAUUAAGAAGCCCCGGCUAACUACGUGCCAGCAGCCGCGGUAAUACGUAGGGGGCAAGCGUUAUCCGGAUUUACUGGGUGUAAAGGGAGCGCAGGCGGCACGGCAAGUCCGGUGUGAAAGCCCGGGGCCCAACCCCGGGACUGCACUGGAAACUGCCGGGCUGGAGUGUCGGAGGGGCAGGCGGAAUUCCUAGUGUAGCGGUGAAAUGCGUAGAUAUUAGGAGGAACACCGGUGGCGAAGGCGGCCUGCUGGACGACGACUGACGCUGAGGCUCGAAAGCGUGGGGAGCAAACAGGAUUAGAUACCCCUGUAUAA